UAGGAGAUGCUGGCCUAGUGAUAUCAGCACUGAAGUGGUUCAACCCUGGGAAAACUUGGUGGCUUCCAAAAUGGGCAAAUGCGGCACAGAACUCUGUCUUCAUCGUUCCGGGGAGCAUUUUCUGUACAGAAUAAUCAGCCUUGCCCUUCUACAAGUGGAAGGAGCAUUUUCAGAGUGAACUUAAUAAAGAUUGAGAUCGGCUGCCUCCUGUCAAGCCAUGCUGAGAAGUCAAGUCCCCGCAAAGAGAGGAGAGGGAGCGUGAAUCCCAUCCGGGGGGCGGCCUGCAGAUAUUAACACAGAUCACCAGAAACUGCAAUUAGAGGAAAGAAAAAUGACCUAGCAAAGCUAAAUCGUCAAGGGCCAACUGUUACCAGAUACAGAAAGGACCAUUUGGGGGAAAGUAAAAAAAUCACAUUCAACAGGAUAAAGGUGUGCAGUCAAUCAAAUUAGCCAAAUCGGAAAAGUAGGAGCAGUUUGCAGUUUGAACAUCCAAGUGAAACCAAGAUACAAGGGCUUAUGAUACCACCCGCCAAGGAGAAAGGGAGAUAAAACGGCGUAAGCUCCGACCAUCUAGCUCUGAGAGAGUUAGAAGGCGAGGCGUUUGAAAGAGCCCAGAGAAAAACGGCACUCUAUAAACCUCUUUGUUUUCCACCGCCAAGAACAUUUCAGAAAAUUA